AGGAUGAAGAGGGUUCAG
rnacentral:misc_RNA from 1 species